rnacentral:rRNA from 1 species
GACGAACGCUGGCGGCGUGCCUAACACAUGCAAGUCGAACGAAGUGGCGAACGGGCGAGUAACGCGUAAACAACCUGCCCUUCAGAGGGGGACAACAGUUGGAAACGACUGCUAAUACCGCAUACUGAAGGAGGGGAUGGCGUCUGAUUAGCUAGUUGGGGGGGUAACGGCCCACCAAGGCGAGGAUCAGUAGCCGGGCUUGGCGGGUGGACGGCCACAAUGGGACUGGGGCACGGGCCAGACUCCUACGGGAGGCAGCAGUGGGGGAUCUUCCGCAAUGGACGGAAGGCUGACGGAGCAACGCCGCGUGAGUGAUGAAGGCCUUCGGGUUGUAAAGCUCUGUUAAUCGGGACGCGGUACCGAAAUAGAAAGCCACGGCUAACUACGUGCCAGCAGCCGCGGUAAUAC